rnacentral:lncRNA from 1 species
UUAAGAUUUACAAAUUAUGUUAGAUUUUAGGAUUUAAGAAAGAUAAAUUAGGGAAAUUCAUAAUUAAAUCAGUUUAAACAAUUAACUAUAAAAAUAAUCUAAUUGAAGAAAAUCCUAAAGUUUUCUUCAGUUCUAUUGCCUUUAAAACUUCUGCAAAAGAGAGAGAAAAUGACAUGGAAACUUAUAAUAAUUACAGAAAAUGAAAACUAUUUAGUAUGAAUAUUAACUGAAAUGUAUAUUACAUAUUGCAUUGAAAAUAAAAUUUAUUGCUGAAACAUCAUAAAUAUGAUGCUGAAUUAAAUAUAAUAAAAUAUGACUAUAUAACUAUUUUAAUAAAUUAUAAAUUAAAUGAAAUGAUUAUGGACAGGAUUGGCUAUGUGAAGAAGCUUCAGCACUCACCUAGAGGACUCAGAAUCAAAUGUAGAUCCUACCCAGUGGAAAAUUUGAGGGGUACAAGUUUAGCCAUUGAUUCCCAUCCUUUACAAUCUGAUUACCCCUAUGAAUGUAGGCAAUCUGUGGUUGGGUCUGAGGUAACUGAAAACCUAAUAUCAGCAAAUGUUUAAGAAGUGAUUGUAAUAAUUAUAAAUAUAAACAAUUUUAGUGAAUUCUGAGCUCUUUUUGCAUGUAAAGCAUAACAUAUAACUGAUAUAUAACAUUUUAUAACUAAAUCAUACUUUUAUUUUGCUUCAUUAUUAACCAUGUAGUAAUGUUUAGAUUAGAAAAAUACCAAAUAAUAUCCUUUUUAUAAAUUUGUCUAUAAAUACUCAUUGUGUUUAAUAAAAUAUAAAUAUGCAGAAAUAUUACUAAACAAAUAAACAUUUAAUAGUAUAAAAUAUUUUAUAGAAAAUUACCCAAG